GCCGUACAAAUGGUGUUUCGCUCGCGAUUCAAAUCGAAUUUGGACUUCGCAGGGGACGUUUCCACAGGCGUUCGUCGGAGAAAAUACGGGAAAACACGGGAUAAACUCGGGAAGGAAUUUACCAUUUCGGAACUCGGCUUUUCGGCCUUUCGUUGCGCGCGUGCUUGUCUGUGUGUGUCUCGAUAUUAUUGUUGCUGCGCUGCGUCGGUGUGUGUGUGCAUUUGAGCCACGGAGAAAUUGUUAACAAAUACAAAAAAGUAAAAGAAAACGAAAAAAGAAUAAACCGGUUCCUUAUUUUCUGCUUCAGCUUCUUCUUCUCCUCGUCGCCUGCAAUUGCCUUUUCGUCAUUCGUAAUAACCAAAAUCGAAUUCGUUUCGCCAGCGCAAUUUUAAUUUCUUUUCGGUUUUUGACCACCCGUUCUUCGGUGCGAAAGUAAUAACAACCAAAACAAGGCAUAAACUAUAUGUAGCAUUGCAAAAUUAACCAAAUUUUUUUUACUGUGCCCCAAAACGAAUACGAAAAAUUCCAACGAAUCAGUGAGUGCAAGAAAUCAAGGAGAUAAAGUUGCGAAUUAAAAUCCAGUGCCAAAAAGUGAGAGAAAUACGAGAAACAAAACAAAAGUUGCAAAUUUACCGAAAAAUUUAAACAGCAGAACAAACGCACACACGGACACCAAAAGGAGGAAGAAAGCAUAAAUUUGGUAACUUGGGGGCAUCUGGUGGAUGCACAGAGUCCAGAGUUUUCGGGACUGCAGGACCAGGUGGAAAAACAAAAGUGGAAGGUCGGUGUAAUUGAACGGCAACAUCGGCGAGCAGAAGAACAACAACUGGAGAGCGUAAAACAUAAACAGACAGUUUUUAAAGCGCCUCUGUUCAAAGAAUUCUACUCGUUAACGAAAUCCGCGAAAUAUUUGCUGAAGUGGAAGUUUGUAUAGAGAUUCCAGAAGGUUGGAGAGCAACAAGCGUUACUGGGAAACUUCUUCAAAAAUUUCGAUGAUGCCCGACUUCUGUUGCUGCUAAAUACGCCGAAUUUCUCACCGAGAAAGCUGAGAAAGCUGAGCAGACCGAAAGUCCGUACGAAUUUGAUAUUGAAACCACAAUGUAUCCGGCCAGCGGCAGUGGAGGAGGCAGUGCAGCGACCGCUGCUAAGUUCCAGAAUCGCUGCGGAUCGCCGCAGUUUGCCAGCGACUAUCCGCACCCACAUCCGCACCAGCAUCCGCACCAGACGACAUCGGUGGCGGUGCACAGUGCCCCGCCCGGAGUGAGUGGUGGCUCCAUAGCCAGCGGUGGGUCCAUGUCCAUGCGUCACGGCCAGCGGGUGGUGGCCUCAGCCCAUCAGCAUCCCAGUCAGAUGACCCUGAACCACGGCGGCAUGGGACACAACCACGGCAUGGGCAUGGCCAUGGGAAUGGGUCACAACCAUGGACAUGCGGCGGCCACCUUGGGCCAUCCGCACUCGCAUUCGCACAACAACAGCAGCAGCAGCAGCAGCCACGGACAUGUGGGCUCGCAUCUGAUCUUCCCCGACGACAUGGACAGCAUCGAGUUCUGCAUGCCGGCGGCGCCCUCCUCCUCGUCCGCCUCCUCGCAGAACGGUCUCGGGAUCGGGGACCAGUUGCUCUUGGGCAGCAGUCACGGCGAGGCGUUCACGGAGCGCCGAAGGAGGGGCCACAGCCGGCGCAGCAAUCAUAAGAUGGACGUGGAACAGCAGGUUAAGUGGUCUCGCAAAAACAUCGCCGCCACCAUGGAACGCUUCGAGCCCACGCCCAACACACAGUCCUCGUCGUCCACUUCAUCGCUCGACUAUGGAUUUGCAGCCGGCGUGAUGACGCCCAGUGGCAGCAGUGCUACGGCCUCGCAUGGCGGUGGCGCCUCAAAUCCCUCACUGCACGUGGCCUUCAACGGAGGCGGUGGAGCAGUGGGCGGUGGUUCAGCCUCGACAUCAGGAGCUAGUGGUGUCAGCGGCUCGGGAGCAGCUGCAGCGGCGGCGCCCUUCAACCAUGUCUAUUCGUAUGCUUACUACGAACCGGGGGCAGCCAAGUGUCACACCAAUGUGCCUGCCGCCCAAGGAGCUGGUCCUGGACAGGGUCAGGCCCACCAGGUCCAGUCGAAGAGCCCGCCGCGCAACUCGAUACGCGCCCUGCUGGCCAAGAGCUUCCGCUCGAAGAGCAGCACCAACCAUGGCGGACAGUCCACAUCCAGUUCUCCGAGUGCCGAGGAGCGGGAUCGCCACACGUAUACCACUCGCUACGGCACCACCGAGAACCUGUACGAGGAGGUCAGCGAUCAAAAGAUCCGCAAGGUGCUGUCCGACAACCGGAUCGCCAGUGGCUCCAGUGCGGGCAAUGUGAAGGAGGAGCAGCGGCGCGUGCAGCACAACCACUUUAGGGUGCUCGACGAGCUAAAUCUCUCGCUGGAGGCCCUAAUAAUGCCGCCGACACCGCCGGACGUCAGUCCCAGUCACGCUAUGGGCGCCGAUGAGCCAAGCACCUCGAUGUCCGCUGGUGCAGUAGGUGGAUCGGCAGUGUCCAGCGUGGUGGCGGGACCCUCGAAGACCGCCCAGAGACCGAGACGCGGCGGCCUCCUGGGCGGUGCGGCUGGGGCAGGGGGCACCUCGAACUCGAGCUCCGCCUCGCACGCUAGCCUGGAGAACCUAUCGAGCACCCUGAACAGCAUGGAGCUCAAGGAUCAUGGCCACAGUAGCUGCAUCAAUCCGGAGUUUGAUGAGGGCGACCUGGACUCCGGCUUCAGUGGCAGCGGCAGCAGCAGCGGCGCCAGCUACAACGAGAGUCUGCGGUACUAUAAGUCCGCCACGCCCACCGGACCGAUGCACCACCAUCACAACCACCAGCAGCAACAGGCGAUGCACCAUCACAGCCUGAACAACAACACCUUGCCGCACAACCUACGCAGCUGCCGAUCCUCCACAGCCUCGGGCACUUCCACAUCGAAGAGCAGCAUGGCCAGCUGUGGCGAGGAUCAGGGCAUUGGCAUGACCUUGGCUGUGGGCGGCGGCGGUGGUGGUGGCAUGAUGACGCCCAUGCACGAGGGAUCCGGCGUUGUGGGCGCCGGUUCCUUGUCGCCCUUCAACUAUCCACGCCGCUGCUCGGCGGACCAGCAGCGCGCUUCGGGCAGAUCGAUGGCCUCCGCCGUGGGCGUUGGACCCGGUGUGGGCAUGGCCGUCGGCGGCAUGGGCGGCGGCAGCAUGAGCAUGAGCAGCAGCAGCAACGUGGCCCUGUCCACGGGCGCGAAACCCAAGAAGAACUUCUGGACCAUGAAACCGUGAUGCUACAAAAAGGCGCUGCGUCACAUUUGCAAGAAAUGGACUAUUGUUAUGGAAUACAAUACAAAGACUGCCUCAUGCCAUGCCAUCCACUAUUACCACCAACCCAACAGCGGCAGCAGCUAUAGCAACUACAGUAGCCGUCGUCACCAUCAGCAUCAGCAGCUGACGUCAU